AAAAGUAAUUGCAGUUUUUGCUGUUGAACGUAGUGGUAAAACUGCAAUUAUUUUUGC
ensembl:miRNA